CAGCCAGUGCCACAUGUGGACAAUAACGCCCAGACUCACAAACACAACACGUUUUUGACUACUUGGUUGCCAGGAAACUUUGUCGGAGUCUUUAAGGCUUGGAUGGAUCAUCAGAUGAAAAUGUUUCAUCUGAGGAAAGCUGCCCCCAUGUAAUUGAAUCCAGACGGAUAACCAGCAGCUGGCUGCAAAACAACUGCAGAAGCACAUCCGUGGCAUCCUGCUUGUUUACACAGAUGGAAACAAAUGGUGGUUAAAGUAUCAGAUCAAGAUCACACUGCACAGUCAUGGCUUUUGCAAAGCAUUGUUUUGUUGUUUUCGCCAUUAUUACACACCCUGUCAUCUGAAUCUCAUAUCAGUUUGACCGCACAUUCGAUAAGAUUUGUCACACAGACUUUUGCAUCAGGCUGAAUUUGAAACUGAGAACUCUUGUCCUCUGCUGACCUUCUGGGGUCUCUUUAUUUUGUGCUACACAUGUGUCCUUUGGUCACAAAAAAGCUAUUUUAUUUUGCCAUAGAAAGCAACAGAUUUUUCUCAGAUUCUUUAUUAUUAUUA